UGAUUUUAAGCAAAUUUAUAGCCUAUAUAAAUUUAAGUUAAUGAGACAAGGUGUGAUGGUAAGAUGAGGAGGUUGAUAUGAUUUAUAUCAACCUAAUCUUUGACAGUUUGGUCAAAGAUCUUAACAGAUAGGUCAAAGAUCAUUUUCUGCCAGCUAGCACACAUUCACGUGAACAAACCGUGAAACAUACUGUGAACCAAUUGAAAACCUUGUAUGACUCUGUUCUGUGGUUUGACCAAUCACAGGACAUAACACAGCCCAUCCUAAUUGGCACAUAACAUGCACGAGUUUAUGCAAAAUAACGUAAUUUACUCUGAGAUGUCGACAGAGUAACAUUAUCGAAUGAUUUUCCCACCCACCCACCUCUCCUUUGCUUACCUUCACUGGGUUUAAAAUUAAAAAAAAAAAAAAAAUCAGUUAAAGUUUUAAUGUUUAUAAUAUUAGGGAAUGCAGUAAUAACAUUCUGAUGUAUAUUGACAAUAUACCUGUUCCCAUGGAAAGAUAUACAGUAGAUAGAUAGACAUGUAUUGUAUGUAUUGGUAUAUAUAAUACUGCAGAUGAUUACGUACGAAGGAAUGCUGUUAUUGCCAACCAAUCUCGAGGACAUUAUUCUGGAACAAUUAAAAGUACAAGGAAGCACAUUCAAGUGCAAAAGUCACAAACAUUGUUGGUAGACUAGCGUUGAUAUUAUGGAUAUUAUUGGUGUAUAGAAAAUAAUUUUUCUUGUAAAUUCUUGUUGAACGAUUAGAAUAAAGAAUUGCAGUUCGGGAUGAAGUCUCCAUAAAAUGUCAACUUCAGGCCCAUAGACUCAAUAUAUGUCACACAUAAUAUAUCUAAAUCUAAGGACUGUCCAUGGGGGUUUACCCCCCAUGUUCAGGUUAAGGACUGUCCAUAGGGGUUUUGCGCUCCGAUUGGUCAGGGUAAGGACUGUCCAUACUGGGGUUUCGUGCUCCAGUUGGUCAGGUUAGGACUGUCCAAGUAAA